AGCUUCUCCAUCUAGGGGCAGUGAGGCCUGGUCAGUAAAGUAGAUGACCUGGUUCUGAGCCUGCCAAUGUCUGCUGUGGUUCUGCUGAAGUUUGGUUUCACAAAGACAAAAAGGUACCACUUCUUUCUCCUUAAGGAAAAAGAACGGAAACAAGAGUUGCGUCAAACACUGGGCGAAAAGACUACCAAGAAAAAAAACAGUCAUUUUAUGAGCCAUGAACUGCCCUGAAGACUUUGUUUCACAUUGAAGAAAGGACUCCAUUCAUAAGAGAACCACUUGCAUCUUCUCCCACUUUCCUUAACAAGAAACAGGAACCUGUUAAAUUUAAAGAUUGUGAAAGUUACAGAUGUGCAUACAUCCUAAAAUGUUUAUGAGUAAUUAUAUGACAAGCAGUCAUCAAAUAGUUUCAUUGUAGGCCAGAUGAUAGUCAUCUGCGGUAAGCCACCAAAAAGACAAAAAGGGAAGUGGGUAAGGAGAGCUGUUAGCAUUCUUUAAAGCAUUUAGCUAAAUGAAUAGACAAACUGGAAAAAGACAGUUUAAUUUUUAUCAUUAUGUUGUCCCACAUGUAAUGCAUAUGUACAUUCUUUUGAUUUAUGCUUCUCUUUGUAUCUCAUGCAGUUGUGCUUUUAUAAUACAAUACCAGUAAAUGGAGUUACUAGCUUACAUCGGAGGAGAGAUGUAUAUAUGUUAGAGAUAUACAUAUAUGCUAGAGACAGCAACUACUGGAUGAAAAGGAAAGGCCAACACAGUUUGCAAGAGCAGAUAAUGUGGAUGCAACUAUUCAUUUUAGAAGUUACUUCUUCCAGCUUGUUUUUAAUAGCUGUUUGGGGGGAUCAGAAUAUUUAUUCAUUUUUUUUUUCAAUUUAAGAGAGUUUCAGUGAAUGAAUUGUAUACAUUUUAUUUCUUCUGCACAGGUGUCUGGAUUACAAAAAUUACCCCCAAAACUGGUGCAAGACGGUCCAUUUGUUGGCAGCCUAACAGCAGCUGAACAGAUACGGAGAUUAUGUAAACCUUCAACACUGCAGUGUUAAGCAAUGAGUUCCAUACUUUUGGAUGGGUUAAAUGAGAGUUGCUACCCACAGAUAGGAUUUAAGAGGCUUAAAGGAAAACAUGUGAACAGGAUGGCAAAUCUAAUAUUCCAUUAUAAAUGACUUAAGAGUACAACUUAAGAUACAGUUCUGCUUAUUUAAUUCAGUACUAAAUUCUCUUUCAAAGAAGAGAGAGCUCUAUCUAUUUAUCCCUUUGGAAAUGACCAAAAGGAAGAAAACAUUUUCUCAACUGAUAUGGAUAUUAUUAUUUUCCUUAGGCAAAAUUUCUCUGUACUGAGAAUGAAUGGAAAGAACCAUGGCAGAGCCUCUCCACUGAUUUGAGUGUCUGGUGAUUGUAGAAAUCCAUACUUAUGAGUGCUGCUCUUUACACCCAGAGCGGCAGGGCUCUGAUCCCUAACUGUGACAACUAAGAACUGGUAGACAAAUAGAAACCGCGCAGCCUGUCACUGAUGUUUUUAUUUCCUGGGUAAAAUUUCUCAUCAGGUUAUUCCUUGGCUUUACAAUUUCCCAUUCAGAAAUCAAUACAGAUAUGUAGCAUUUUACUCUAAACUCAAUCACAGAGGUAAACUUUGUACUUCUUGAUAGACUUAGAAGUCUGAUGUAAGACUCAUCUGCUUUGUAGUUCAGUCCUUGUUACAGUGCAGCCCCUGCAAUCCUGUAGUCUCUCUUUGUCUCAGGACGACUCCAGCUCAGGAGAUGAGAUAUUCCUUUUUCUGUGAGACUUCUGUGGUUUGUAGUUUUGUAGAAAGGCAAUGACUACAAGACUGUUUCUCUAUUGUGCAUGAGUGCUAAUUCUUUCCGAAGUGUGUAAAUGGUUGGAAGAAUGACUAAGCAUGACAUCCUGGGAAUUUUGUGUUUAAUUCAUUCCCUUCCCUAUCUUCAUUUCUUUCUCUCAAUGACUUACAGAUUCACUUCAUUACAAAUCAGCAAAGGGUUCAAUUUGAAAACUACUCUGGGUUCUUUCAGUACUGCAACCACUAGCCAUAAGAUUCUCCGACUGGAAUUUAGCUGACUGGUUGUGGUUAAUGCACACAGCAGAAUACAACUCAAGUACUUUCACCAUCUUACUGUUUAUUGUAUAAUAACUAUUGAAACUCCAGGGUGUUUUUUUCAGUUAUAAAAUAAUCUUAGAAAUUCUUCACAAUCCAAUGUGCUGAAUAGUAAGCUACCACUUUUUAUAUGCUCAGUCACCACAUCUGAACAGACAUAGGUAGGAACCUCAUGUAAAAACAGAUAGGAAGCUGCUCUUUACUGCUUUGCUAACCAGGAGCAUCUGUAAAGCUUUUCUUAGAGAUGGUUGAGUAAGUCCUAACUUCUCAUAACUUUUCAAUAUUAGGUGGCUUUGAAUUUUAUCAGUUUUUAGGGGUUAUGCAGCUGACAUCACCAAAGUUCUGGGUUUGUUUCAAUGAUCUGUCUUGCUUUUCUUCCCUUCAUCUCUCUGAAGAGAGUUGAUAUUUGCUCAGUGCAAUGCACUUGUACAUCUCCUGUAAGUUCUUAACUUUCUGUACAAGAAAAACAAACUUCACAUGAAGUAUCCCUUGCAUCUCAGUACAUACAACUCAGACAAGAACAGGGUAGCAGUCAUACCCAAGAAGUCAGUUGUUCUUGAAAUUAGGUCUACAGACAUAUAUCUUCCCUUUAAUUGCCUUCGGAGUCCCUAAGGAAAUACUUAAUUUUUCUUUUUCCCACUUCCCCUUGAGACUUCACAGACCCUGUGAUUUUCAGUAAAGCUUGGUAUAGAUGUCUACAUAAUGACAAUUUUCUGAGGUGCCUGUUAGCAUUCUGCUGGGCUGCUGACACUGAGCUGAUACAGCUGGUUCUCCAACACCAGUUUCCUCUUCUGUGCUGAGGAGCCAGGUACCAACAUCCAAAUCCAUCUGGAAAGCAAGUUAACAUCUAUCCUGCCAAACUAAAUUGGGCCAAGAUACAGGUGACUUGAACAACUGGUAUUCAUCAGAUGCCAUUAAAUUGAAAGUGUGCUCCCUGGCACAAUUUUAGUCCCUGCAAACUCUCUCCUAGAAAAUGCCUGAGAAUAUUUAUCCUUUCCAGAAUUCAGUCUAUGGACUGUAAAACCAUCUGGCCUGUAUGUGGGAGAUCAUUCGAGUUCAGAUCUGAAGGGCAGCCUCAUUUUCCUCACUCAGCUGCCCCUCUUGGCACAGUUCUUAGUCUACUUUUCUCUCAGCUACAGAGCCAGUGGAAGCUAGUGGGGGGAAGGGGCUGUUCUUCUCACCACUGGUACAUCAUACCAGUCUAAUUGCUGUCUAAGUUACUGGUCACAAAACUUACACCUAGGAGUUACACCUAAAAUUGAGUAAGUAUUUUGCAUAUAGUGCUAGUUAUCAUCCUUUUAGUAAUAAAACAAAAGAGCAAUUUGAUGCUUCCUUUCUUUUUAUUCAGCUCCAUUUGCCCAGUAGGAACUAACAGUUUUACCACAGUAGUUUUUUGUUGCUGUUGGCUUUCAUUUAAGAUCAUGGAAGGAAUUUGGGCUUCUACUAAAAAUAGCUAUUAUAUGCUGCAUUUGUCUUCAAGAACCAGCAUACGCUGUAGCAUUACUUCCGAGUUUAGAAUACUGCAUCUUUGAUAAUGGUUUGGUAAUUCUCCCAGUAGAGAUACUAAACAGCAGUGACACCUAUCUCUAAUGAGGAGUCUGUAGCACAUGUGUUCUCUCCAACAAAAUUGAGAGGCUCUGCUAUUCUGGGCUUUUCCUUUGAUGGACAAGCAAAAUGAUGAAGACGUCUUACACAGAUACCUUUUUUCAGCUCAUCUCAGAAAAGGAUGGCUGCACAUAUAGUUAGGUGAUAUGGGCAAUGCUUUCAAAAGGAGGUUGUCAUGCUGGAAAAUCAUUGCAAACUGUCCAGCUAAGGACUAGGAUUAGUUACCAAACCUUACAUUACUUUUGUACUACAUUGAUACAGCCUUCUGUUGGGUCAAGUCAGUUCCCCAAGCAUGUGUUUAGUCUUGCAUCUUUGGAAAAAAUGAAGUUUGCAGGAGUGUUUUAUUACUGCGCUAUCUGUUGUACUGUUGGUAUUCUUCUCUUUUAAAGUUUAGAAUUUGCUCUUUGCAGAAGGCUUUUAGGUUUUCCUGUAUGUUUUCCCUUAGUUUACAUUUAAUCUAGGUCACAUUAGGAAAAUAAAUUGCUUUUUGCAUUUGCAUAAACUUUGGAAAAAAUGAAUGUUUUUGGCUAGGCAGCCCAAGGUUCUGUACAACUGCCUUCACAACUUAGCAGCAAUAAAGCUUCAAUUUCUAUUUUGCAGUGCUACAACUGGAUUUAAAAGUUAUUAAUGCAAAUGGCAGCACAACAAAUUAUAACAGGUGCUUUCCAGAUGUUCUAGUCUUUAGCCUUUACUUCCCUUUUCUUACACUGGGAAUAGUAAAAACAAACUUGGAAAGUACUGUCCACAGGUUGGAUUUGAGGAAUCUCCUCAGGUUAUAUCUGAUGACAUCGUAGGGCCAAUAAAGUUCAGCAGUAUAAAUUCAAAUCAGACAAGCAAAUCUCUUCUCUACCUGUGGGGAUCUGUAUCUUAUGUGUGAAAUACAGCUUUCUGCAGCCCUCACUGUGUUUCUCACCUCUGGAAACUGGUCUUAAGUUCUUGUCCAAACUGGAAUAUUUGCUGUCAACAAAAAAAACCCAUGGUUUUCCAACCAAUGUGUGGAAUGGUUAUAAAAGCUCCACUAGAAAUACAAGUAAAUUAAAAUUCAGAUGAUCAUUGCCCAAUUCUGUUGAGUUGAGAAAAGGCAACAAACUGUGACCCCUUGCUACCAACAGAGUCACUGAAAAGGGAAAAUCAUAUUAAUAUUUUAGAAGAGAAGUAAAAGAAACUUUUUUUGGUAUUAGUGUAUACGGUACUUUUCUGUUGUGAACCCACAAGGUGUCUCAAGAUGGGUAUACUGGGAUUUGGCCAGUAAUUGGAUGGAGGAUGCUUCUUUUUUUUUUUUUUGUUAUAGAACAUUUUACCAUUAUAUUUAACCAAAACAGUAGUACAGUGUAACAUGAGCAUGGUGAUGGGCUCGUUGUAUGUGGAACUCCUCGGUAUCUCUAUGAUUCCUUAGUGAGCCAUAAAAGCAAGACUAUUGCUACUGCACUAAUGAUCAUCUAACUUCCUUCUCCUUUUCAUUGUUUUUGUGAAAAUAAACCAUUCAAUGCCGAAGCAUAAGUUUUGUUCAAUUUAAGAAGUUAUGAGCAUAAGUUGAGUCAGGAGAUGCCAAACUCUCACCUACAUGUAAUAAGAAUGAUUUUAAGAAAGAAUAUAGAUGCUUCUGUAGCUCCUUUGGCUACAUGAGUAUGCUUUGUGUGCAUAUGCACUAACUUUUGAAAAUGAGUGUUUUCAACAUUUAGAAGUUUUCAUUUUUUGUUAGUAGUUUUCAAUAGUCCCUGUAGACAUUUGAGUGUAGCAGAAUUGUACUGGAGAGUAGAGAUGGUAAGUACUUCUUCAGGGGCAGAUAAAAUUGUUCACAUUUUCAAAACCUAUCAGACCAGACACUAUUAAAUUGUUUGUUUGAGCUCUGCUCUAUAUCCAUGAAGAUGCUGGAGACAGAACAGACACUAUGACUGCUUUCCCAUCUGGACUGCAUAGGCAACUCUUUCUGUAUGUGUGUACAAGUUUUCUGAAGGUUUAAAUUGUUGACUAAUACUGGUAAUAACUGCAGUGCCAAUUAAGACAGAAGAAUGCUGGAAAAGUGGAAAAACAAUGAUACCCUGGGAUUGUAGAAAGAUGAGAUCACUCACGGAUAUGUUGAAUGCUAACAUUAUGUGACUGCCGAUGACCCAGGGGCAGAAUCACUCACUCAGCUUUCAGUGGCUAAAGGGAAAAGUUUGUGGAUAUAAUCCCUAGAGCUGCAAGGAUAAUUUGUCCAGGGAUAGGUUCAUUUUUGUUUGACAGUUUUUUCAGUGCUCAGCUUGAAGAGCAGGAGGAUCAAGGCAAUUCAAUAUGUUUCUACUUCCAGUAACUCAGAAAAAAAACCAAUAAAACUACAGAAAAAAUGAAUUAAAAAAAGAACCUCCAAACCACAAAUCUGCAGAAAAAUCCUGAGAUUUGAGAGAAAGAUGCAAUUCAUAUAUUUUCCUUUUGCAUUACAAGAUACUUGCCUGUGUUGCAUUUCUUCUCUCCUAUUCUAGGUAUGAAGGGGGGUGGGGGUGAAACGAGGGUCACUAGUAAGGACGCUGUAUGUAAUGAGCCAGUGCUUCUGGGAGGGGCUUGUGCUAGUAAAAUCCCACAGUCUUGUGGGAGGAAUGAGGAGGACAACACACCCUUUUGUAGGAAGAACACAAGGGAUGAUGUGAGGUUGGUGGCUUUGAUAACACGUGAGCAUGGACAAGAUGGUAUUGGGGCUUUAGGAAGCUGUGGGGGAGAACUUCAGAUUUCUUCUGGAAGUUUGAUGGAGGGCCCCUCUAGAAAGGUAGUAUGCCGGAAAGCCCAGCUGAAGUGCCUUUACACUAAUGCAUGCAGCAUGGGAAAUAAG